UUUUGUAAUUGGUUGCUAUUAAUAUUUUCGUUUGUGUGUAUAUUGACAUUUUAACAUUUAUAUAUAUUAAGAUAUUGCUGCGUAUGAACAACCACUAUUGUUUAUUUUAUACGAAAUACGUUUACUGAAAGAUUAGAACUAUAUAGUAUUUAUAUCAUAAUAUCAUAUGCAAAGGAAAUAAAUUAAUUCGUUGCGCCAUGAUUUCAAAAUAUAACAAAUUCGAGUUUAAAUUUUCCAAGCGCAAGAAAAUGUAACAACUACUAUAAAAUUUCAGUGAACCCAAAGGCAAAGUAUAAGCAUAUAAAUCUCGACAUGAGAGAUAAUCGGGUUGGCGGAACAGAUUCGCUCACAAAUUGAAUAAGAGGAAUAUACGAACUUAGAAGGCGGGAAU
rnacentral:misc_RNA from 1 species